GGAAUAUUGGACAAUGGGGGAAACCCUGAUCCAGCCAUGCCGCGUGUGUGAAGAAGGCCUUUUGGUUGUAAAGCACUUUAAGCAGUGAAGAAGACUCUUCGGUUAAUACCCGGAGACGAUGACAUUAGCUGCAGAAUAAGCACCGGCUAACUCUGUGCCAGCAGCCGCGGUAAUACAGAGGGUGCAAGCGUUAAUCGGAAUUACUGGGCGUAAAGGGAGCGUAGGUGGCUCGAUAAGUCAGAUGUGAAAUCCCCGGGCUCAACCUGGGAACUGCAUCUGAUACUGUUGAGCUAGAGUAUGUGAGAGGAAGGUAGAAUUCCAGGUGUAGCGGUGAAAUGCGUAGAGAUCUGGAGGAAUACCGAUGGCGAAGGCAGCCUUCUGGCAUAAUACUGACACUGAGGCUCGAAAGCGUGGGUAGCAAACAGGAUUAGAUACCCUUG
rnacentral:rRNA from 1 species